AUUGAACGCUGGCGGCAGGCCUAACACAUGCAAGUCGAGCGGAGCUGCGGACGGGUGAGUAAUGCCUAGGAAUCUGCCUGGUUGUGGGGGAUAACGUCCGGAAACGGGCGCUAAUACCGCAUACUAUCAGAUGAGCCUAGGUCGGAUUAGCUAGUUGGUGGGGUAAAGGCCUACCAAGGCGACGAUCCGUCACUGGGCUGAGAGGAUGAUCAGUCACACUGGAACUGAGACACGGUCCAGACUCCUAGGGAGGGAAGCAGGGGGGAAUAUUGGACAAUGGGCGAAAGCCUGAUCCAGCCAUGCCGCGUGGGUGAAGAAGGUCUUCGGAUGGUAAAGCACUGUAAGUUGGGAGGCGUUACCAACAGAAUAAGCACCGGCUAACUUCGUGCCAGCCGCCGCGGUAAUUC
rnacentral:rRNA from 1 species